CCAGGAUCUCGUAGCAUCAUCACCCAAAUUAUCAACUAACUAGUUUCUGAAAACCUUAGAGAGUUAGUCUGUUUGAACUGGACUGAAAGCAGACUUUUCAAGUGAGAUCAUCAUAUUACUGUUCUUACACAGCACACAGUAGACAACAAGGCCCAAAGGACUGGAGUCAACACCCAGAAGAGCUGUCAGUCUAGCACUUAGGGCAAGGAGCAACAGACCCAUAAGCAGAGAAACGAUCAGCCUCAGAUCUGCUCAGCUGCUGUCUCCCUCCUGUGAUUCCUCAUCCUAUGUGAUGUCUGAAGUGCAGCAGCCAUCUCGCUCUGGUGAGACUACCAUACAAGUAUGAAGAUUGCUGUGUUACAGAUGACGGAGCAGAGAUGCCGAAAUAUACGGCUGUGCAGCUGAAACA